UUGGGGAUACAGCUUCAUGGUAGAGUACUUGUCUAGCAUGUGCAAGUGCCUGGGUUCAAUCCCCAGUAAACAAA
rnacentral:tRNA from 1 species